GACAUUGGCUUUUUCAUGGUCCUUCUGAACAUUUAGAAGGCUAGUUUGUCUUUGUUAGUUAAGCUUCUGAUCUUUCAUUUUCUAAAGGAAAAAAAAAACAGCAUACCAUGAGGUUAUGCCAGAGGUUACUAAUAUUCUACUAUAAAUUACAGUUCUUGUGGGUGAAGUAUGGGAAACCUUUUUACAUGACCUACGUUCCUUGCAGUUUGGAUUCUGUUAGAAUUAUAGAUAGAGUUCAACUGUGUCAUACUGCAAUAUGGAUGCUUUUCUUAAAGCUAAGGGACAACUGCCAACUAAUCACAUGCCUGCUGUUCUAAAAAAUCUGUAGUCUGUACUCAGCAUUCACCAUUCAAGCUUGUUAACUUGUAACAAUGAUAAUCCAU